rnacentral:siRNA from 1 species
UAAACCAGACACACCGUACCUUGC